AUGGACGAGUCAUGGAGGUGCACGAUGGGCGCGGUGCUGCCGCGGCAGCGCCCGUCGGACGGCCAGAAGAGCCUCGCCCCCGACGACUUCCGGGACGUGUUCGGCGGCCCGCCGCGCACCGUGCUCCUCAGCAGCUUCUGCGGCGACGCAGCCGCCGCUGACUACCACGCCGCGGCGGCCGCCCACGGCGGCCAGUACCCGUACUACUCCUACGGCGGCGGCGCCGACGCCUUGUGCCGCCGUGGCAGGCCGGCGUCGGCGGCCGUGCCCACCGAGGAGGGCUUCUUCGACGACAUCUUCGGCGCCCGCGCCCGUCAGGUGCGGUCGAGGUCCAGGUCCAAGUCGACCAAGUCUUCGUCGGUGAUCAGCUCCGACGAGUUCGGCUCCGGCCGCUCCGCCUUCCGGUCGGCGGCCACCGGCGGCGGCCGCGGCGACGCCGCCCUCUCCUCCUUCGCGUCCAAGCUCAGGCCCAUUGCGAUCCCGUCGCGCCGGUACGACUCGUCGCCGCCGUCGAGCGCGUCGACGAGGGCGGAGUACCAGAGCAGCUUCACGUGCUCGACGGCCGCGUACCCGGCGUGCCGCUACUAUUACGGCAACGGCGGCGACUGGACCAACCACAGCGGCAGCAGCGCGGCGUCGUCGGCGGUCAGCAACAACGGCGCCGCCGCCGAGAGCUCCUCGUCGCGGCACCACCGCGGCGGGAGCAGCGGCUUCUGCUGCUUCACGUCGAACCCGGAGACCAGCAGCCGCGAGCCGAGCUUCCGGCGCACGCAGCGGCGCGGCAGGGCACGGUCACCGGCGCCAGACUACGCUGCGGCCGACACCAGCACCGAGUGCUCCGGCGCCGCCGACGACUACGGGUACUACUACUCGCCGUCCUCGGCCGCGUCGUCGUCGCUCUUCGGCAACCCGCCGCGGCCGCGCCUGCACCGGCUGGAGGAGGCGGUGAUGCAGGAGGCGAUGAUGAUGGAGGUGAGGGAGCGGGCGCCGCUGCUCAUGGACGACGACGGCGACAUCGACAGCGUCGGCGCCGCAGCCGUGGACGAGGCGAUCGCGUGGGCCAAGGAGAGGUUCUGGAGCCAGGCCUAG
rnacentral:rRNA from 1 species